rnacentral:lncRNA from 1 species
UUGGGUUCUGGGAUUUGUCCUUAGGAUCCAAGAGUUUGGUGGAUUGCAUCGCACGAAUGUUUCUUAAACCCUUCUCGUGCCAUAUCCGGUCCACCAGGUAUCAAGUUAUCCAUAUCUCUUCGCCAGAGGUAAUCCAGCUCCAACCAGUAAAAAGAGAAUUUCUUGACACAUUCUCCGCCAUCAAUCAAACUGAUGGACAUUGUUAUGACUCUCUCGGUAUUGAUCGCACCUCUGAAUUCGACGACGGCGACUACAAAAAUUCCUCUCCGAUGACUACAAAAUUGUUCUACAGCCGCAAAUUUUUCCUCAAGACGCAUUGCAAAAUUCCUCUCCGAUGACUACAAAAUUGUUCCUACAGCCGCAAAUUUUUCCUCAAGACGCAUUGCAAGUCCUGCUUGCAAGCGGGCAAGACAGAGAUUCCUAAGUCUCAAUGCACCAUCCUAGGCAAGCUCAUCCGCAUCCCGCGCAGCGACGCCGCGCGGAUCGCGCCCUCGAAGCACGCCACGGCCGGGACCGGGGACGCCGCUGGCGCCCGCGCGGCGGCCUCCUCGCCCGCCGCCGGCGCGGGCGGCUGCUUGCUGGCUUCCUGCCCGGCCACCAACGGAUGCGACCACCGCCGCUGCUGCUGCGCCGGCGGCGCCGCGCCACCGUCGCGCUCGCCGUCA